rnacentral:rRNA from 1 species
ACGGGGGGGGCAAGCGUUGUUCGGAAUUACUGGGCGUAAAGGGCUCGUAGGCGGCCAAUUAAGUCAGACGUGAAAUCCCUCGGCUCAACUGGGGAACUGCGUCUGAUACUGGAUGGCUUGAGUGUGGGAGAGGGAUGCGGAAUUCCAGGUGUAGCGGUGAAAUGCGUAGAUAUCUGGAGGAACACCGGUGGCGAAGGCGGCAUCCUGGACCACGACUGACGCUGAGGAGCGAAAGCCAGGGGAGCAAACGGGA